rnacentral:tRNA from 1 species
CAAAGUGUAGCUUAAACAAAGCAUCUGGCCUACACCCAGAAGAUCUCAAUAACAUGACCACUUUGA